rnacentral:lncRNA from 10 species
CACUUCACUCCUCACCGUGAAACACAAGGAACACAGGAGGAGUGGCAGAUGGAGGGCUGGGAAAAAUGAACAGGGCUACCUUCUGCCUGGACUCACCCAAAAGCCGGUCUCCUGCAGCCUGAAGCUCUUGUACCUCUAGGCUGAAGAUGAUGAGGAUCACAGGAGGAGGAAGGCUGCCAACUUCAUGUUGCUGUUGGAAGGCUUUGGAAAAACACAGCAGGGCUGAGAGCAGCUGAAAUUUAUACCUUCCACCCGCUGAGCUGGAAUGCAAGGCCAGGGGUGGGACUAGGGACUGCAGACACCUAAGCCCUGCCCAGAAACUGACAUUUCUGGAGAAUAGCCACCCACCCUGUGUACCCUGGGUCCUUCUACAUUACCUAAGCAAGGCUCUGAGCCAAGGGAACGCCCUCCUCUGACAGAAAAAUAAGACUCCUACACCAGGCCAGUU